UCCGAAUUGGUGUAGUGGCUAACAUUUGACGCUCUCAUGGUCUGAGUAGAUCUGUAUGAUUAUUACUUGCUGUUUGAUCCGUCAAGCCCGGGGUUCGAUUCCCCGAUUCGGAG